rnacentral:rRNA from 1 species
AAGCUCGUAGUUGAAUUUCGAGACCGGUCUACUGGUCGUGCUUUUGUACGUACUGGUAUAAUCAGUUUCUCUCUUCUGACGAACUAUAAUGCCAUUAAUUUGGUAUUUUAGGGAAUCAGGACUGUUACUUUGAAAAAAUUAGAGUGUUUAGAGCAGGCUCACGCUUGAAUACAUUAGCAUAGAAUAACGAAAUAGGACGUUUGAUUCUAUUUUGUUGGUUUCUAAGAUCGACGUAAUGAUUAAUAGGGAUAGUUGGG